rnacentral:rRNA from 1 species
GCCUACGGGAGGCAGCAGUGGGGAAUAUUGGACAAUGGGCGCAAGCCUGAGGCAGCGACGCCGCGUGGGUGAUGAAGGCCUUCGGGUCGUAAAGCCCUGUCGAGGGGGAAGAAACUCUUGCCGGUGAACAAUCGGCGAGAUUGACGGUACCCUUAAAGGAAGGCCUACGGGAGGCAGCAGUGGGGAAUCUUGCGCAAUGGCCGAAAGGCUGACGCAGCGACGCCGCGUGUGGGAGGACGCCCUUCGGGGUGUAAACCACUGUUGCCCGGGACGAACAUCCCCUUUCGAGGGGACUGACGGUACCGGGUGAGGAAGCACCGGCUAACUCCAUGCCAGCAGCCGCGGUAA